rnacentral:lncRNA from 1 species
UAGGGUUUGGAUUAGGGUUUAGGGUUUGGAUUAGGAUUUAGGAUUUGGUUAGGGUUUGAUUUAGGAUUUGGAUCAGGAUUUGGAUUAGGAUUUGGUUAGGGUUUGAUUUAAGGUUUGGUUUAGGGUUUAGGAUUUGGAUUAGAGUUUAGGGUUGGAUUAGGGUUUGAAUUAGGGUUUUGAUUAGGAUUUAGGGUUUGGUUAGGAUUUGAUUUAGGAUUUGGAUUAGGAUUUUGAUUAGGAUCUAGGGUUUGGUUAGAGUUUGAUUUAGGGUUUGGAUUAGAGUUUGGACUAGGAUUUGGUUAGGAUUUGAUUUAAGGUUUGGUUUAGGGUUUAGGAUUUGGAUUAGAAUUUAGGGUUGGAUUAGGAUUUGGAUUAGGGUUUGGAUUAGGAUUUAGGGUUUGGUUAGGGUUGGAUUUAGGAUUUGGAUUAGGAUUUGGUUAGGAUUUGAUUUAAGAUUUGAUUUAGGAUUUAGGGUUGAUUUAGGGUUUGGUUUAGGGUUUGAUUUAGGAUUUGGUUUAGGAUUUAGGGUUUGGAAUAGGGUUUAAUUUAAGAUUUGUUUAGGAUUUGACUUAGGAUUUAGGAAUUAUUAGGAUUUAAGAUUUAAUUAGGUUUGGUCUAAAGUUGAGUGAAAUUCAAUAGGGUUUUAACUAGAAUUAAAUUAAGGUUGAAUUGACAUAUAUUUGAGUAAAAUUUGUGAUCAUUCUAAUAUUUCUUUAAGAAUUUUAUUAUUUGUUUGAAAUUUCUUUGAGUUGUUUUGAAUUUGAUUACGUUUGUUUACCAUUAUUAUAGUCUAAUUAGAGCAUUGUUAGUAUUCUAUUUAGAAUUUUGUUAUCACAAUUUCUAUUCUUCUUUCUACAGCCAGGUGCCCGGAGCAUUCUCAAGCAAGACUUGACACAUUACGACAGCGUAGAAGUAUUAUAUCAAAAGAAGUAUAUAUGUCUUAGGUGUAUCAAUGUCUCACUUCUAUUGUUCUAUGAUGCAUUUUUAAUUAACACCAUCCAUGGACAAAUUAAUUUACUACAAUAGAUACGAUUGAUAUUAG